CCUACGGGAGGCAGCAGUAGGGAAUAUUGCUCAAUGGGCGAAACCCUGAACCAGCAACGCCGCGUGGAGGAUGAAGGUUUUCGGAUUGUAAACUCCUUUUGUUAGAGAAGAUAAUGACGGUAUCUAACGAAUAAGCACCGUCUAACUCCGUGCCAGCAGCCGCGGUAAUACGGAGGGUGCAAGCGUUACUCGGAAUCACUGGGCGUAAAGAGCGCGUAGGCGGGAUAGCAAGUCAGAUGUGAAAUCCUAUGGCUUAACCAUAGAAUUGCAUUUGAAACUGUUAUUCUAGAGUAUGGGAGAGGUAGGUGGAAUUCUUGGUGUAGGGGUAAAAUCCGUAGAGAUCAAGAGGAAUACUCAUUGCGAAGGCGGCCUGCUGGCACAUAACUGACGCUGAUGCGCGAAAGCGUGGGGAGCAAACAGGAUUAGAUACCCUUGUAGUC
rnacentral:rRNA from 1 species